UAGAUUCUGUGAGAGGCAUCGUGUCUCACU
rnacentral:piRNA from 1 species